GAUGAACGCUGGCGGCGUGCCUAAUACAUGCAAGUCGAGCGAACAGACGAGGAGCUUGCUCCUCUGACGUUAGCGGCGGACGGGUGAGUAACACGUGGAUAACCUACCUAUAAGACUGGGAUAACUUCGGGAAACCGGAGCUAAUACCGGAUAAUAUAUUGAACCGCAUGGUUCAAUAGUGAAAGACGGUUUUGCUGUCACUUAUAGAUGGAUCUGCGCCGCAUUAGCUAGUUGGUAAGGUAACGGCUUACCAAGGCAACGAUGCGUAGCCGACCUGAGAGGGUGGUCGGCCGCACGGGAACUGAGACACGGUCCAGACUCCUACGGUAGGGAGCAGAAGCGAAUCGGCCGCAGUAGGCGAGAGCCUUACGGAGCGACGCCGCGUGAGAGAUGAAGGUGCUCGGAUCGGAAUACCGGGUUACGAGGGAAGAACAAAUGUGUAAGUAGCUAAGCACGUCGUGACGGUACCUAAUCAGAAAGCCACGGCUAACUACGUG
rnacentral:rRNA from 1 species